rnacentral:rRNA from 1 species
AUACCUUAGUACGGCGAGUGAGCGGUAAAAGCUCAAAUUUGAAAUCUGGUACUUUCAGUGCCCGAGUUGUAAUUUGUAGAAUUUGUCUUUGAUUAGGUCCUUGUCUAUGUUCCUUGGAACAGGACGUCAUAGAGGGUGAGAAUCCCGUUUGGCGAGGAUACCUUUUCUCUGUAAGACUUUUUCGAAGAGUCGAGUUGUUUGGGAAUGCAGCUCAAAGUGGGUGGUAAAUUCCAUCUAAAGCUAAAUAUUGGCGAGAGACCGAUAGCGAACAAGUACAGUGAUGGAAAGAUGAAAAGAACUUUGAAAAGAGAGUGAAAAAGUACGUGAAAUUGUUGAAAGGGAAGGGCAUUUGAUCAGACAUGGUGUUUUUUGCAUGCACUCGCCUCUCGUGGGCUUGGGCCUCUCAAAAAUUUCACUGGGCCAACAUCAAUUCUGGCAGUAGGAUAAAUCAUUAAGAAUGUAGCUACCUCGGUAGUGUUAUAGCUUAUUGGAAUACUGCUAGCUGGGAUUGAGGACUGCGCUUCGGCAAGGAUGUUGGCAUAAUGGUUAAAUGCCGCCCGUCUU